ensembl:lncRNA novel transcript
CCCCCCUCCCACCCAAAGAAAAAGAAAUGGUAACUACCUGGACAAAACAUUUCACGUGCAUUGUUUUAGUAAACAGACACAACCUUGGCUUCAGGUCUUUUUUGUUUUCUGUCACCCAGGCGGAGUUUGCAGUGAGCUGACAUCGCAUCACUGCACUCCAGCCUGGGUGACAGAGCAAUACUCCAUCUCGA